AAUAGAUACCCAGGUAGUCCACGCCGUAAACGAUGAGUGCUAAGUGUUAGGGGGUUUCCGCCCCUUAGUGCUGCAGCUAACGCAUUAAGCACUCCGCCUGGGGAGUACGGUCGCAAGACUGAAACUCAAAGGAAUUGACGGGGGCCCGCACAAGCGGUGGAGCAUGUGGUUUAAUUCGAAGCAACGCGAAGAACCUUACCAGGUCUUGACAUCCCAUUGACCACUAUGGAGACAUAGUUUUCCCUUCGGGGACAACGGUGACAGGUGGUGCAUGGUUGUCGUCAGCUCGUGUCGUGAGAUGUUGGGUUAAGUCCCGCAACGAGCGCAACCCUUGUUCUUAGUUGCCAUCAUUUAGUUGGGCACUCUAAGGAGACUGCCGGUGACAAACCGGAGGAAGGUGGGGAUGACGUCAAAUCAUCGAUGCCCCUUAUGACCUGGGCUACACACGUGCUACAAUGGACGUACAAACGGUUGCCAACCGCAAGGGGAGCUAAUCCGAUAAAACCGUUCUCAGUUCGGAUUGUAGGCUGCAACUCGCCUACA
rnacentral:rRNA from 1 species